rnacentral:rRNA from 1 species
AACGAACGCUGGCGGCAGGCUUAACACAUGCAAGUCGAACGCCCCGCAAGGGGAGUGGCAGACGGGUGAGUAACACGUGGGAACGUGCCCUAAGGUUCGGAAUAUUCCCGGGAAACUGGGAGCAAUACCGAAUGUGUCCGAGAGGAGAAAGAUUUAUCGCCUUAGGAUCGGCCCGCGUCGGAUUAGCUAGUUGGUGGGGUAAUGGCCUACCAAGGCGACGAUCCGUAGCUGGUCUGAGAGGACGACCAGCCACACUGGGACUGAGACACGGCCCAGACUCCUACGGGAGGCAGCAGUGGGGAAUCUUGGACAAUGGGCGCAAGCCUGAUCCAGCCAUGCCGCGUGGAUGAUGAAGGCCUUAGGGUUGUAAAAUCCUUUCGCCGAGGACGAUAACGACGGUACUCGGAGAAGAAGCUCCGGCUAACUUCGUGCCAGCCGCCGCGGUAAUAC